GGGUUGUGAGGUUAAGCGACUAAGCGUACACGGUGGAUGCCCUGGCAGUCAGAGGCGAUGAAGGACGUGCUAAUCUGCGAAAAGCGCCGGCGAGGUGAUAUGAACCUUUGACCCGGCGAUGUCCGAAUGGGGAAACCCAGUGCAAUUCGUUGCACUAUCGUUUGAUGAAUACAUAGUCAAACGAGGCGAACCGGGGGAACUGAAACAUCU
rnacentral:rRNA from 1 species